rnacentral:rRNA from 1 species
UACGUAGGUGGCGAGCGUUGUCCGGAUUUACUGGGCGUAAAGGGAGCGUAGGCGGGCUUUUAAGUGAGAUGUGAAAUACUCGGGCUCAACUUGAGUGCUGCAUUUCAAACUGGAAGUCUAGAGUGCAGGAGAGGAGAAUGGAAUUCCUAGUGUAGCGGUGAAAUGCGUAGAGAUUAGGAAGAACACCAGUGGCGAAGGCGAUUCUCUGGACUGUAACUGACGCUGAGGCUCGAGAGCGUGGGGAGCAAACAGG